AUGAAGCAUACAAAAUCAACAAAGCCAGACUGGGGUUUUGAUCAUCAAGGUAGAUGAAGAUGAGAAGACCAAAAUGCCCAAGCCCAGUGAAAAAACUUCCCCCACAAACUAGUCCACAAAAUCACCAGUGCAAGUGCAACAACAUUGACUGAGAAGGAGUUUCCGUUUCUCAAAGAGGCUGGGUUAAGUGCAAGCCUCAUAACGCUUGAAGCCAAUGCAAUUAACUCCCCAAUUUACACAACUGAUACUACAGUUCAAGUAGUUUAUGUUGCUGGAGGGAGUGGACAGAUUCAAAUUGUGCGUCUUAAUGGUAAACUGGCCUUGGACACACAAGUCAAAGCUCUGGUGAUUUGCUUGUGGUUCCAAGCUUCUUCAUGGUUGGUUAAACUUGCAGGGGAAAAUGGAUUGGAAUGUUUUUCCGUCAUCACAAGUUCCCAGUAAGCAGAAGAUGAUCAUAUAAAAUACUUAAUUUCAAUACUUCAUUUUUGCUAAACAAUAUUCAAUGUGCAUGUACAAUAUUAUGUACAGCAAUAAUUGUUUAUUUUAAGACCUUUCUUAUUGAGAGGGUCAAUAACAUACUCAUCCACACUACACGGAUAGUAGCACUUGAACUCAAGACCUUUCUUGCGGGGAGCAAUAAUUUUUAUUUUAUUUUUAUAGUUUAUUUUAUGAAUAAUUGCCCUUAUUUGUGCAGGCCUGUCCUAGAAGACUUAGCUGGGAAGACAUCAGCAUUGGUGGUGGCAUUAUCACCAGAAAUGUUACAAAUAUCCCUUAAUAUAACUCAGGAUCUUCUCAGGUCAAGGAUUAGAAAGAUCUGA
rnacentral:lncRNA from 1 species